CGCUUAGAUAAAAAACCAUUUUGCUAGGCCGUACAUGGUGGUUUCACAUUGCGCCUCGUGGAAAAAAAACUAUUGCUUUCUGUGCGUUUGAGACGAGACGAGCCUUUUUGUGCGGGUGGAUAACUUUUCAGGCUACGGAAGUCAUUUGUUGGAUUACGUUAGGUAACGUUACGCAUUUUUCAUUAGCGCGGCACAUCGGUCGUCGUCCAUUGUUGACGACGCAGAUCCCCGUCUCGAACAAAGGAACAGGAGGCCGAUGUUCGCUUGUUGGCGCGGUCGGAACGCGGUAUUUAUUAAAUAAUUGAAAAUUAAAACCACCCCAACGCCUGUUUUGUGGUAUACUAUUUUAACUUGAGACGUCUUUUUCUCAACUCUCACGUUAGUCUUACUAUUUGCUAUUGUGGUCCACUAGCGAGCUAACUGCUAGCUUUAGCAUUGUUUUGAUAUAGCAAGAAGUUUUAUUUUGGGGGCAAAAUGGCUGAAGUAUACAUUCGAGUAGCAGAGGAGGAAAAUGAAGAACCCAUGGAGAUACCUUCCGAGGACGACGGCACUGUGCUGCUUUCAACCGUGGCAGCUCAGUUUCCAGGGGCGUGUGGCCUACGCUUUAGGAGCCUUGUUUCUCAGUGUAUGCGAGGAGUGCGUCUUGUGGAAGGGAUCCUACACGCGCCAGAAAACGGAUGGGGAAAUGUCGUGUAUGUGGUGAACUAUCCAAAAGACAACAAGAGGAAGAUGGAGGAAAUUGACGCCUCCUCUGCAGUGAAAAUGAAGAGAGGGGACAUGAAGACAUCUGACCUGAUCGUAUUGGGUCUUCCUUGGAAAACAUCUGAGCAGGACCUGAAAGACUACUUUAGCACAUUUGGAGAAGUCAUCAUGGUUCAGGUGAAACGAGAUGCUAAGACUGGAAACUCCAAAGGAUUUGGCUUUGUGAGGUUCACAGAGUAUGAGGCUCAAGAAAAAGUUGUCUCCCAGCGUCAUAUGAUUGACGGGAGAUGGUGUGACUGCAAGCUUCCUAACUCAAAGUUCCCUUUUUGUUUACAGCAAGGUCCAGAUGAGCCGAUGAGGAGCCGGAAAGUGUUUGUUGGUCGUUGCACAGAAGACAUGACCACUGAAGACCUACGGCAGUUCUUUAUGCAGUAUGGAGAAGUUACAGAUGUCUUCAUCCCCAAGCCAUUCCGUGCUUUUGCCUUUGUUACAUUUGCAGAUGAUCAGGUUGCCCAGUCUCUCUGUGGAGAAGACCUAAUAAUCAAAGGUGUCAGUGUUCACAUCUCAAAUGCUGAACCCAAACAUGGCAGUAGGCAGUUUGAUCGUACAACACGAUUUGGGAAUGGUUUUGGAGCUCAGGCGUUUGGUAGCAGCCGUAGUGGGUUAGGGAGCAGCACUAACAGUAGUCUGGCUAAUUUUGGUUCCUUUAGUCUGAACCCUGCUAUGAUGGCUGCUGCUCAGGCUGCUCUGCAGAGUAGUUGGGGGAUGAUGGGUAUGCUGGCUAGCCAGCAGCAGACAUCCACCUCAGGCAGUGCUUCCAGUGGAACAAGCUCUAGUAGGGACCAGAGUCAGUCUUUUGGUACAGGCAACAGCAACUACGGCACCAGCUCAGCCAGCCUCGGCUGGGGAACAGGGUCAAACUCUACAACCAGCGGUAGUGGGUUUAGCACAGGUUUUGGGUCCAGUAUGGAGUCAAAGUCAUCUGGGUGGGGUAUGUAAGUUAAGUGUUUGUAUGGUAAGUAUCGUGACAAAGAUGAGUCUUUUCCAAAUUUAUUUCUGGUGUUGAUGCGUAUCUGAACACUUUCGUGGGAGAUGUUUUGUACAUUUGGAAAAAAUGCUUAAAGAUUUAAUUUAGAAAGUGAAGUAAAUUGUUUACCAGGAUGUCUGACUAAAGUGCUAUUUUUGAUGUCUCAUUUGUUAGUGUCCAUUUCAACUGGAUUCUCUAAUGCAUGUAUUGUGAAAUGUGAUAACCAUUUUGAAAGUGCAUGAAUGUCUUGGUUCACCAUUAUCCGGCUUUGUCAUCGACUUAAACGGCAAUCUUGCAUUGGAAAGAAUCUGGUUGAAACCUAAAUGUUUUAAGUGAAACUUUAUUUGCAGUAAAGUUCUGUGGAACAGCCUUCAUUGAAAUCUCUUCUGCAGUUCACCUCUCUUCAAUUUUCCUGUGAGGAAGCUCCUCUUUGGCAGCAUUCUUGGGGUGAUAUCGGUAUCAUUGUCCCUCUUCCCACCUGUAAAUGCAAUGCCAUCAAAGAACGGCUUCACUCCGCAUGUUCUAAGAGACGGGACCUUGGGCUCUGCUGGUCGAGGUCUCCGUUUGAACCCUGACUGAGGUCUGUUCUGAAGGACGAAGACGGAAGUUCCAACACUUUGAGUGUGUGGCAUUCUCAGACAUGACAUGGGGUAGUACCUGUCUUUUUGCUGCUUUUGAUGGCUUGUCAGUGAAUUAUCCUUUAUUCUCCACAGCUACUUUUAAAGGGGGGUAUUUUAACCUUCAAUCUGGCAUCACCUCUACAAACUGUAUUUUGUCCCUUUUCUAUCUUAAGAAAUAAGAAUACUAAUGGCAUGUUGAGUUUAGAAGGAUUUUUAGAAGGCCUGUUUCACUAAGUGGCCACUUCAUUAGGUACACCACCGGGAAGUGUAAAAUUUGACUCUAAGGUCAUAGGUGUUGUACUGGACUAAAUUUGAGCUGUUUCAUAUAUACAUGAGGGGGCACAAUAUUAGAAUCACCACUAACAAAGCAACAGUCCAAGUUUAUGGAAGUAUUAAUUAGGCUGGUGUAUUGCAUAGUACUGGAUUAUGCAGGUGUACCUAAAAGUGGUCACUCAGUGUACAUUGUUUGCCUGGCAGUCGUAACAGUACCUUCAUGGUUUCUAAAAUUGAAAACUGCAUAUUUAGAUAACUUAGUUUGGAGAAACAGCAGGUAGUCAUCAUUUUGACAGUCUUCUCUUGACUCAGUUCAUACAUAAUCUUUUUAUGUCAAACAGUGCUAAAUGCUCACUUGACAUUGCAUCAGCAGGUCCCAGGACAGAUAACUGUCUGCUGUGGAAUACUAAUUUCCCAUAAAAUGACUGGCACAUUUCAUUACAAAUAACUGUUCAUGUAUUGGUCAGCCUUCAUAUUUAUUUUAAUGUUGGGCACAAGUGAGACACUACAGGCCUGCCUUUGUCUUGUCCUUAUUCUCUGCUCUCUCCUCAGUGUCUCUGCUCUUCCUCUUCCCAGCAUUCUUCUUUUUCAAAUCCCUCUGCUCCUGGUUCAGUUCUUCACUUUUAUUUUGUAUGUAGAUGGACUGAAAUAAAUAAAGGCAAAUUAAACAUU